rnacentral:rRNA from 1 species
GUGGGGAAUCUUCCACAAUGGACGAAAGUCUGAUGGAGCAACGCCGCGUGAGUGAAGAAGGUUUUCGAAUCGUAAAGCUCUGUUGUCGGGGACGAAUGUUGAGACCGAGAAUAUUGGUUUCAAAUGACGGUACCUGACGAGGAAGCCACGGCUAACUACGUGCCAGCAGCCGCGGUAAUACGUAGGUGGCGAGCGUUGUCCGGAAUUAUUGGGCGUAAAGGGAGCGCAGGUGGGAAAGUAAGUCUGUCUUAAAAGUGCGGGGCUCAACCCCGUGAUGGGAUAGAAACUAUUGUUCUUGAGUGCAGGGGAGGAAAGAGGAAUUCCUAGUGUAGCGGUGAAAUGCGUAGAUAUUAGGAGGAACACCAGUGGCGAAGGCGGCUUUCUGGACUGUAACUGACACUGAGGCUCGAAAGCCAGGGGAGCGAACGGGAUUAGAUACCCCUGUAGUCC